AUUGAACGCUGGCGGCAGGCCUAAUACAUGCAAGUCGAGCGAGCGGCGGACGGGCGAGUAAUUGAUGGGGAUCUGCCCGACAGAGGGGGAUAACUACUGGAAACGGUGGCUACUACCGCAUACUACCGGAUGGACCCAUAUGGGAGUAGCUAGUAGGUGGGGUAAAGGCGCACCUAGGCGACGAUCACUAGCUGGUCUGAGAGGAUGAUCAGCCACACUGGGACUGAGACACGGCCAAGACUCCUACGGGAGGCAGCAGUGGGGAAUAUUGCGCAAUGGGCGAAAGCCUGAUGCAGCCAUGCCGCGUGAAUGAAGAAGGCCUUAGGGUUGUAAAGUACUUUCAGCGGGGAGGCGUUACCCGCAGAAGAAGCACCGGCUAACUCCGUGCCAGCAGCCGCGGUAAUAC
rnacentral:rRNA from 1 species